ACAAAGAAAAGAAGGAACAACAAUCACGCCCACGACCACGUGCAGCCUAUUCACUACACAAACCCCACCUGACACGUGCCCGAGGGCAAGGCCAUUAAGGAGGUCUUAGUCUGAAAAACGUGGUAGAGUCCACCGCCAUCAGGAACAUUUCCAAAGCGAGUGUCUUGGAUGUCUGGGUGCUUCCCAGGCUGUAUGUGAAACUGCAUUACCAUGUGAGGUGAGUCACUCAUAGCAGGCCAGGCAGGAAGCAGCCUUGUGAAGCCCAGAAGGACCCAACACCCAUAUCCCUAGUCAGAACAGCUGGUGCUGCCCACAAUCUCCGCCAAAGCCCAUGUAA
rnacentral:lncRNA from 1 species